UGGGGAAUUUUGGACAAUGGGCGAAAGCCUGAUCCAGCAAUGCCGCGUGUGUGAAGAAGGCCUUCGGGUUGUAAAGCACUUUUGUCCGGAAAGAAAUCCUUGGCUCUAAUACAGUCGGGGGAUGACGGUACCGGAAGAAUAAGCACCGGCUAACUACGUGCCAGCAGCCGCGGUAAUACGUAGGGUGCAAGCGUUAAUCGGAAUUACUGGGCGUAAAGCGUGCGCAGGCGGUUUGCUAAGACCGAUGUGAAAUCCCCGGGCUCAACCUGGGAACUGCAUUGGUGACUGGCAGGCUAGAGUAUGGCAGAGGGGGGUAGAAUUCCACGUGUAGCAGUGAAAUGCGUAGAGAUGUGGAGGAAUACCGAUGGCGAAGGCAGCCCCCUGGGCCAAUACUGACGCUCAUGCACGAAAAGCGUGGGGAGCAAACAGGAUUAGAUACCCCUGGUAGUCCACGCCCUAAACGAUGUCAACUAGUUGUUGGGGAUUCAUUUCCUUAGUAACGUAGCUAACGCGUGAAGUUGACCGCCUGGGGAGUACGGUCGCAAGAUUAAAACUUAAAUGAAUUGAC
rnacentral:rRNA from 1 species